AUGUGUGUACACACUGCAGGGUCUCUAUCUCUCACACACACUGACAUGUGUUUGCUGUGUGUAGCUCUGAGGAAGUUGCAGACCAUUAGGAGAGAUCUUAAGGAGGGCAGCCUUAAGACCAGCAUUACACCUGGAGACAAACUGGUUCCUUUCUCAGAAGGGUCAAAGAUUACCAAAGAUGUUACCAUGACUACCGUUGCCGAGGCUGUUCUUAUGGAGCCCAAGUCAAGCCCAGAGAAGACCUAUGUCACACCUACAGCUGUUGAGACUGUAGCUACAGCAAGUACUGCUCCAGUUGUUACCACAGCUACUAGCCAGAGAGGGACCUGUCGACUGCACUGUCAGGACUGCAACGUGGUAUGUGAGUUUGUGUCGCAGUACAAGUUACAUGUGCGUCACUGGAAACACAAGAAGAUGCUAGGAGAUAUCUUUGGACCAGGGGACGAGGACAGUAAAGCCUGCAUCCCAUCCUUUACCUUGUAUGAGUACUUCCGGAACCCAGAAAGAACCGAACCAAUUAUUGGUGUCUGUCUGUUGGUGAUGUGUGUGAGUACUGAGUGUUGGAAAACGCCCUUCUACCUGUGUCACACCUGUCAGGAGAUAAUCCCCGCCCAUCUCGUCAUGACUCACCUCACCUCCACACUCCACCUUCGACGCACUCUGAUGUACCAGAGUCCGCAGUGUCUGCCAUUCGGGUGGGGGACAGAGAUGGGCCUGGAGGUCCUGAAGACUCUGGCCUGGGAGGAGGAGAGAGUCCGAGGAGAGAGAGACAAUGUUCUGAAGGUGUUUGAUAUUCCUGCCAGUGUUUUCCACAGCAUUAAGAUGUCCUCCUACUCCUCUGCCAUGAAGAGACUCAAGAACUUCCAUCGUUAUCUAAAAGGUUAGUAGAUGUUCAUCGUAAAGUUUCUCUGGUGUCAUAAGCAGAGCAUUCAGGGCUCUUAAGAUUUUGUCUCUGUCUGUGUUAUCCUGUAGUUGACAGGCCGCUGACGUUUUCCGCCCAUCUGAAAAACAAAGACCGGAGGAUUCCUAUGCUGGGUGAGUGCAGACCAAAUGAAAACAGAAUCUGAAGGGUUUAAACUAAGUAAAAACAUGGUAAAAUGGAGGUGGAAGCAGACACAGAAAGCAGGCAUACAGAAAUUAGACAAAGUGGAC
rnacentral:lncRNA from 1 species